GGUUGUAUCGCCUUUGACAUUCAGCUUGUUGAUGUUUUUUUAAUAUUUUGUAGGAUUCUCCUAAGAACAGGGAAUUGUUGGGCACAUUUUGGGAUAAGCUAUCUUUGGAUGAGGCAAUGGAGAUUUCAUCGUUGAAGAAUGCAACACUAGAGGUGAUAGAGUAAGAUAUGUGGGUCCACUACAUUCAUCUGGAUUUCCUCCUCUUCAUCCUUCUUAAACGUACCUUCUCUUCUUGCAUGCGCCUAUGUUGUAAGCUGUGCAAUUUUCU